AUUGAACGCUGGCGGCAUGCUUUACACAUGCAAGUCGAACGGCAGCACGGGCUUCGGCCUGGUGGCGAGUGGCGAACGGGUGAGUAAUGCAUCGGAACGUACCGUGUAGUGGGGGAUAACGUAGCGAAAGUUACGCUAAUACCGCAUACGCCCCGAGGGGGAAAGUGGGGGACCGCAAGGCCUCACGCUAUAUGAGCGGCCGAUGUCGGAUUAGCUAGUUGGUAGGGUAAAGGCCUACCAAGGCGACGAUCCGUAGCGGGUCUGAGAGGAUGAUCCGCCACACUGGGACUGAGACACGGCCCAGACUCCUACGGGAGGCAGCAGUGGGGAAUUUUGGACAAUGGGGGCAACCCUGAUCCAGCCAUGCCGCGUGAGUGAAGAAGGCCUU
rnacentral:rRNA from 1 species